CUAAAAGCAGCCACCUUCCAAAAAGCGUUAAAGCUUAAUUAUUUUUAUUAAAAAUUCCACCAUUUUUCUACAACCCUUAAUUUAUACUGAAUGAUCUCAUAAGCUUAUGAGAGCCUAUAUGUUAAAACUAGUAACAAGAAGAAGACCUUCUCCAAAAUGUAAGCAUGAGCCAAAAUGAACAAUUCAUUGGCAUUUAAAGUUAUAAACCUCCAGUAGUAACACUACAAGAAAAACCUACUUACUUUGACGUCAAUCUUACACUAGCACAUUUCUGGAAAGAUUAAAAGAAUGGGAAGGAACUCGGCAAACUACUAACCCCGCCUGUUUACCAAAAACAUCGCCUCUUGCUUCUCAUAAGAGGUCCAGCCUGCCCAGUGACAAAGUUAAACGGCCGCGGUACCCUAACCGUGCAAAGGUAGCGCAAUCACUUGUUCUUUAAAUGAGGACUAGUAUGAACGGCAUCACGAGGGUUAUGCUGUCUCCCCACUCUAUUCAGUGAAACUGAUUUCCCCGUGAAGAAGCGGGGAUAUAAAUAUAAGACGAGAAGACCCCAUGGAGCUUUAAACUUAGUAUCAACUGCUUUUUAAAAUAACCUAACAUUUAUGCAACCAUGACUACUAGUUUUCGGUUGGGGUGACCACGGAGCAAAAAUAAACCUCCACGAUGAACGGAACUAAAUACCUAAAUCAAGAGUUACAACUCUAAAUAUCAAUAAAUUGACUAUUUGAUCCAAUUACUUGAUCAACGAACCAAGUUACCCUGGGGAUAACAGCGCAAUCCAUUUCAAGAGCUCAUAUCGACAAAUGGGUUUACGUACACUCGAUGUUGGAUCAGGGUAUCCCAGUGUGCGCAGCCGCUAUCUAUACGGUUC
rnacentral:rRNA from 1 species